rnacentral:rRNA from 1 species
AACGAACGCUGGCGGCACGCCUAACACAUGCAAGUCGAGCGCUUCCCUUCGGGGAGGAGCGGCGGACGGGUUAGUAACGCGUGGGAACAUGCCCUUUACUAAGGAAUAGCCUCGGGAAACUGAGAGUAAUACCUUAUACGCCCUUCGGGGGAAAGAUUUAUCGGUAAAGGAUUGGCCCGCGUAAGAUUAGAUAGUUGGUGGGGUAAUGGCCUACCAAGUCGACGAUCUUUAGCUGGUUUGAGAGGAUGAUCAGCAACACUGGGACUGAGACACGGCCCAG